rnacentral:rRNA from 1 species
AAAUGAAUAGACGGGGACCCGCACAAGCGGUGGAUCAUGUUCUUUAAUUCGAUGCUAAACGAUAAACCUUACCAGGGCUUGACAUCUAGGGAAGGACUACGAAAGUAGUUUGUGCCUUUUUGGAACCCUAAGACAGGUGAUGCAUGGCCGUCGUCAGCUCGUGUCGUGAGAUGUUAGGUUAAGUCCUUCAACGAGCGCAACCCUUGUGAUUAGUUGUAAUUUUCUAAUCAGACUGCUUCGGUAACGGAGAGGAAGGAGGGGAUGAUGUCAGGUCAGUAUUUCCCUUACGUCCUGGGCUAGAAACGUGAUACAAUGGCAAGCAACAAUGCGUGGCGAAGUCGUGAGAUGAAGCUAACCGCACAAAACUUGUCCCAGUCCGGAUUGGAGGCUGAAACUCGCCUCCAUGAAGUCGGAAUCGCUAGUAAUCGCAGAUCAGCAUGUUGCGGUGAAUACGUUCCCGGGUCUUGUACACACCGCCCGU